UACGGGGGGGGUAAGCGUUGUUCGGAAUUACUGGGCGUAAAGGGCUCGUAGGCGGCCAACUAAGUCAUACGUGAAAUCCCUCAGCUUAACUGGGGAACUGCGUGUGAUACUGGAUGGCUUGGAUUUGGGAGAGGGAUGCGGAAUUCCAGGUGUAGCGGUGGAAUGCGCAGAUAUCAGGAGGAACACCAAUAGCGAAGGCAGCUCGCUGGGACGGUACUGACGCUAAGGCGCGAAAGCGUGGGGAGCGAACAGG
rnacentral:rRNA from 1 species